rnacentral:piRNA from 1 species
UGGCUAGUUGAUGUCUAAGGACCUUCCUACC